GCGGGUGUAGCUCAGUGGUAGAGCACGACCUUGCCAAGGUCGGGGUCGAGGGUUCGAAUCCCUUCGCCCGCUCCA
rnacentral:tRNA from 20 species